rnacentral:rRNA from 1 species
AAACUUUCAACAACGGAUCUCUAGGCUCUUGCAUCGAUGAAGAACGCAGUGAAAUGCGAUAAGUAAUGUGAAUUGCAGAAUCUCGUGAAUCAUCGAAUCUUUGAACGCACAUUGCGCCCUAUGGUAUUCCGUAGGGCAUGCCUGUCUGAGCGUCAGCUCCCCCCCAUCUCAAGCAUCUUUUUUGAAGCUUGGAUUACUUUGGAGAAGUGGUUCUAUAAUGAGCCACCCUCUAGAAAUUUAUAGGCAGUAUGGUUAUAUCUGAACUAGACGUAAUAUUAGCAAAAUCGUCUUUUUAGGAAUGAUUGUACUUGCCUCAACCCACUCAUAUUAAACUUGGGUGACCUCAGAUCAGGUAGGGAUACCCGCUGAACUUAA